rnacentral:rRNA from 1 species
GACGAACGCUGGCGGCGUGCUUAACACAUGCAAGUCGAACGGUGAAGCGAGUGCUUGCACUCGUGGAUCAGUGGCGAACGGGUGAGUAACACGUGAGUAACCUGCUCAUCACUCUGGGAUAAGCACUGGAAACGGUGUCUAAUACUGGAUACGGCCAACCCUUGCAUGGGGUGUUGGUGGAAAGAUUUAUCGGUGAUGGAUGGACUCGCGGCCUAUCAGCUUGUUGGCGGGGUAAUGGCCCACCAAGGCGACGACGGGUAGCCGGCCUGAGAGGGUGACCGGCCACACUGGGACUGAGACACGGCCCAGACUCCUACGGGAGGCAGCAGUGGGGAAUAUUGCACAAUGGGCGAAAGCCUGAUGCAGCGACGCCGCGUGAGGGAUGACGGCCUUCGGGUUGUAAACCUCUUUCAGCAGGGAAGAAGCGAAAGUGACGGUACCUGCAGAAGAAGCACCGGCUAACUACGUG